rnacentral:pre_miRNA from 1 species
UUUCUACUCCCUCCGUCCAAAAAUACUUGUCAUAAAAAUGGAUAAAAAGAGAUGUAUCUAAAACUAAAAUACAUCUAGAUACAUUUCCUUUUAUCCAUUUUGAUGACAAAUAUUUUCGGACGGAGGGAGUAUUUG